GACGAACGCUGGCGGCGUGCCUAACACAUGCAAGUCGAACGGAGCAGAUCCCUUCGGGGGUUUGCUUAGUGGCGAACGGGUGAGUAACGCGUGAGGAACCUGCCUUUCAGUGGGGGACAACAGUUGGAAACGACUGCUAAUACCGCAUAAGCCCACAGGUCGGCAUCGACCAGAGGGAAAAGGAGCAAUCCGCUUUGAGAUGGCCUCGCGUCCGAUUAGCCAGUUGGUGAGGUAACGGCCCACCAAGGCGACGAUCGGUAGCUGGUCUGAGAGGACGACCAGCCACACUGGGACUGAGAUACGGCCCAG
rnacentral:rRNA from 1 species